rnacentral:rRNA from 1 species
GCAUAACGCGAAGAACCUUACCUGGGCUUGAACUGUCGGUAUAGGGACCCGAAAGGGCGACGACCCCGGGCAACCGGGAAGCCGAUAGAGGUGCUGCAUGGCUGUCGUCAGCUCGUGUCGUGAGAUGUUGGGUUAAGUCCCGCAACGAGCGCAACCCUUGUCUUUAGUUGCCAGCGAGUCAUGUCGGGCACUCUAAGGAGACUGCCUCGGAUAACGAGGAGGAAGGUGGGGAUGACGUCAAGUCAGCAUGGCCUUUAUGUCCAGGGCUACACACGUGCUACAAUGGGCGGCACAGAAGGACGCGAGACCGCGAGGUCAAGCCAACCCUUAAAACCGUUCUCAGUUCGGAUUGCAGGCUGCAAUUCGCCUGCAUGAAGUCGGAAUCGCUAGUAAUCGCGGAUCAGCUACGCCGCGGUGAAUACGUUCUCGGGUCUUGUACACACCG